GAUGAACGCUGGCGGCGUGCCUAAUACAUGCAAGUCGAGCGAACAGACGAGGAGCUUGCUCCUCUGACGUUAGCGGCGGACGGGUGAGUAACACGUGGAUAACCUACCUAUAAGACUGGGAUAACUUCGGGAAACCGGAGCUAAUACCGGAUAAUAUAUUGAACCGCAUGGUUCAAUAGUGAAAGACGGUUUUGCUGUCACUUAUAGAUGGAUCCGCGCCGCAUUAGCUAGUUGGUAAGGUAACGGCUUACCAAGGCAACGAUGCGUAGCCGACCUGAGAGGGUGAUCGGCCACACGAGAACUGAGACACGGUCCAGACUCCUAAGGGAGGCAGCAGUAGGGAAUCUUCCGCAGUGGGCGAAAGCCUGACGGAGCAACGCCGCGUGAGUGAUGAAGGUCUUCGGAUCGUAAAACUCUGUUAUUAGGGAAGAACAAAUGUGUAAGUAACUAUGCACGUCUUGACGGUACCUAAUCAGAAAGCCACGGCUAACUACGUG
rnacentral:rRNA from 1 species